UACGAAGGGAGCUAGCGUUGUUCGGAAUCACUGGGCGUAAAGCGCACGUAGGCGGAUGUGUCAGUCAGGGGUGAAAUCCCGGAGCUCAACUUCGGAACUGCCUCUGAUACAGCACGUCUUGAGUCCGAUAGAGGUGGGUGGAAUUCCUAGUGUAGAGGUGAAAUUCGUAGAUAUUAGGAAGAACACCAGUGGCGAAGGCGGCCCACUGGAUCGGUACUGACGCUGAGGUGCGAAAAGCGUGGGGAGCAAACAGG
rnacentral:rRNA from 1 species